ACAGGAGAUAACUUACCUCUUGAAACAAAUGGUUAUCUUCCUGUCCUAUAAUUGUUAUGUUGCAAUAGGAUUAAUUUUAUUUUACAGGAAAUAAAUUAAUUCUUUAUUCAAUGUAUUGUCUAUAUAUGAGAUUUUAACAGUCACA